AUCCAGCUGACGAGUCUCAAAUAGGACGAGAUGAGUGUCAAACUAGAU
rnacentral:hammerhead_ribozyme from 1 species